AUGUAAAGCCUACAACGUUAAUGCACUAAAUCCCAUUAGAAAUCUGUAGUUAAGCGUGCUUGGGCUAGAGUAGUACUGGGAUGGGUGACCUCCCAGAAAGUCCUAGUGUUUUACAUA
rnacentral:rRNA from 1 species